rnacentral:rRNA from 1 species
GACGAACGCUGGCGGCGUGCUUAACACAUGCAAGUCGAACGGAAAGGCCCUGCUUUUGUGGGGUUCUCGAGUGGCGAACGGGUGAGUAACACGUGAGUAACCUGCCCUUGACUUUGUGAUAACUUCAGGAAACUGGGGCUAUUACCGGAUAGGAGCUCCUGCUGCAAGGGGGGGUUUGGAAAGAUUCGGCGGUUGGGGCUGGACUCGCGGCUUCUCAGCUUGUUGGUGGAGUAGUUGCUUACCAAGGGUUUGACGGGUAGCCGGCCUGUGAGGUGUGCCGGCGUCAUUGGGCCUACGAUACGGCCCAGAAGCGUACGGUAGGCAGCAGUGGGGAAUAUAGCAAAAUGGGGGCGAGCCUGAUAAAGAAACGCCGCGUGCGUGAUGACGGCCUUCGGGUUGUAAACCGCUUUAGAAUAUGACGAAGCGUGAGUGACGGUAAUGGGUAAAGAAGCCCCGGCUAACUACGUG